AAACGUAGGAGGCGAGCGUUAUCCGGAUUUACUGGGCGUAAAGCGCGUGCAGGCGGCCCGGCAAGUUGGCUGUGAAAGCCCCCGGCUCAACCGGGGGAGGUCGGUCAAAACUGCCGGUGCUAGAGGAUGGGAGAGGGAGAUGGAAUUCCGGGUGUAGUGGUGAAAUGCGUAGAGAUCCGGAGGAACACCAGUGGCGAAAGCGAUCUUCUGGCCCAUCACUGACGCUCAGACGCGAAAGCUAGGGGAGCGAACGGGAUUAGAGACCCCGGUAGUCCUAGCCGUAAACGAUGUAGACUAGGCGUGGGCGGGUUCAAAUCCGUCCGUGCCGCAGCCAACGCGAUAAGUCUACCGCCUGGGGACUACGGCCGCAAGGUUAAA
rnacentral:rRNA from 1 species